AAGUCGUAACAAGGUAACCGUAGGUGAACCUGCGGUUGGAUCAUUAACAAUGACUCUACUCUGCCCUUGGGUGGAGUGGAAAGAGGGGACCCCCUUUUAAGGGUGGAAACCACGACCCACACUGUGCACUGUAUCUUGUCUUUGGACAGCGCUCGAAAGAGCAUGUCCGAGACACUUAGACCCCUCUCAAUAGCCUUGAUGAAUUUAGUAAUCAAAAACAACUUUUGACAACGGAUCUCUUGGCUCUC
rnacentral:misc_RNA from 1 species